rnacentral:rRNA from 1 species
AUUGAACGCUGGCGGCAUGCUUUACACAUGCAAGUCGAACGCGUGGCGCACGGGUGAGUAAUACAUCGGAAAGUGUCCUCUCGGGGGGGAUAACUGAUCGAAAGAUCAGCUAAUACAGCACACGAUUGGAGAGGCCGCUACCCGAUUAGCUAGUUGGUGGGGUAAAGGCUCACCAAGGCGACGAUCCGUAGCUGGUCUGAGAGGACGACCAGCCACACUGGGACUGAGACACGGCCCAGACUCCUACGGGAGGCAGCAGUGGGGAAUUUUGGACAAUGGGGGCAACCCUGAUCCAGCCAUGCCGCGUGCAGGAUGAAGGUCUUCGGAUUGUAAACUGCUUUUGUCAGGGAAGCGGUACCUGAAGAAGAAGCACCGGCUAACUACGUGCCAGCAGCCGCGGUAAUAC